rnacentral:tmRNA from 3 species
GGGGACGUUCUUGGAUUCGACAGGGGUCCCCCGAGCUUAUUAAGCGUGUCGGAGGGUUGGCUCCGUCAUCAACACAUUUCGGUUAAAUAUAACUGACAAAUCAAACAAUAAUUUCGCAGUAGCUGCGUAAUAGCCACUGCAUCGCCUAACAGCAUCUCCUACGUGCUGUUAACGCGAUUCAACCCUAGUAGGAUAUGCUAAACACUGCCGCUUGAAGUCUGUUUAGAUGAAAUAUAAUCAAGCUAGUAUCAUGUUGGUUGUUUAUUGCUUAG